AUUGAACGCUGGCGGCAUGCCUUACACAUGCAAGUCGAACGGCAGCACGGGGCAACCUGGUGGCGAGUGGCGAACGGGUGAGUAAUGCAUCGGAACGUGCCAUUGAGUGGGGGAUAACGUAGCGAAAGUUGCGCUAAUACCGCAUAUUCUGUGAGCAGGAAAGCAGGGGACCGCAAGGGCCUUGCGCUCUUUGAGCGGCCGAUGUCAGAUUAGCUAGUUGGUGAGGUAACGGCUUACCAAGGCGACGAUCUGUAGCGGGUCUGAGAGGAUGAUCCGCCACACUGGAACUGAGACACGGUCCAGACUCCUACGGGAGGCAGCAGUGGGGAAUUUUGGACAAUGGCGCAAGCCUGAUCCAGCCAUGCCGCGUGAGUGAAGAAGGCCUCGGUUGUAAG
rnacentral:rRNA from 1 species